GAUGAACGCUGGCGGCGUGCUUAACACAUGCAAGUCGAACGAACCUUCGGGUUAGUGGCGGACGGGUGAGUAACGCGUGGGAAUCUGCCCUCAGGAGGGGGAUAACGGGUUGGAAACGGCCGCUAAUACCCCAUAUGCCGAGAGGUGAAAUGAAUUUCGCCUGAGGAUGAGCCCGCGUCUGAUUAGCUAGUUGGUGAGGUAAGAGCUCACCAAGGCAUCGAUCAGUAGCUGGUCUGAGAGGAUGAUCAGCCACACUGGGACUGAGACACGGCCCAGACUCCUACGGGAGGCAGCAGUGGGGAAUUUUCCGCAAUGGGCGAAAGCCUGACGGAGCAACGCCGCGUGAGGGAUGAAGGCCUCUGGGCUGUAAACCUCUUUUAUCAAGGAAGAAGAUCUGACGGUACUUGAUGAAUAAGCCACGGCUAAUUCCGUG
rnacentral:rRNA from 1 species